rnacentral:lncRNA from 1 species
AGACAUUAAUCUUAAGUAUCCAGGGAGCCCUAAAACAUUGUAUCCCACUAGCAAGGACCAUGGUAAUUGCCACGUAAAUCCCCUCCAUUAUGUGGCCCUUAUUAUGACCAGCCAGCCAAGGCUUGCCUUUAAAUCAUACCAAUUGAACCGAGCCUUGUAGAAACACUAUCACCUACGCAUACCUCUGCUUCUUUUCAUUAACCUGCUAUCCUCUUUACAAAUGGGAUUCUUCACCCACUCCCUUCUUCUAGAUUAGCAAUGCCCUGUUAAGUAAACGAACACGAAAUUCAAAGGGAAACAGGAGCAAUCAUCAUUACCAGCUGCCGUGUUAAGCAUUGCGAAAACGCUCACGAUUCACAGAAAAAUCCAUGCUGUUCUUUGAAGGCAUUCAAGCCUUAAUAGCUAGCUGGAUGAAUGUUUAACUUCUAGGCCAGGCACUACUCUGUCCCAACAAUAAGCCCUGUACAUUGGGAAAGGUGCCGAGACAUGAACUUUGGUCUUCUCUGCAAUCCAUCUGGAGCAUUCACUGACAACAUCGACUUUGAAGUUGCACUGACCUGGCCAGCCCUGCCACUUACCAGGUUGGGCUGUGGCUUGCCUUUUCACUUCUUGUGUCCUGUUUAAGAAAUAUCUGCUAUCCCAAGAUUGAGCCUCAUAUUUCAUAUCUGCCCCUGGCCUAAUGGUUGUUUACAGAAUGAGCUCAAUGAAUAUUGUUAAAUAACACUAACAAAGUUGACCUUAGAAUUGGAGUGCCUGGGUUAGAACCCUGCUGGUACCACCUGCUUACUGCAUGCUUCUGAUGUGAGUUCAGGAGAAGACACUGGCAAGGACAGCAAAGAACAGGAGAACACUCUAGCUUCCCUGAUAGCAUUCAAGGUGCUGUCCAAACUGACUGUGAUGGCACCCUCCAGACAGACAGCGAUGCCACAUGUUCAAGAUGGCAGAAUCACUAUCAGCUUCAAUUCCUGAAUGACUGCAGAGCAAAAUUUCUUACCUGCAACAUACACUCUAUUUUCAGCCUCCCUGGACUGUUACAUAAUGAUACAUAAAAAUAUUUCUUGUGUUGAGGCAUCCCAAAUUUGAUUUAUUUGUCAUCACAGUCUAUCCUAUGAAUAUAUUUCUGAUCCAAAUAAUGCUAGAUUCAUGAGAGUUUAUAGUCCAGAGAUUUUUUUUUUUUUUUUGAGACAGAAUCUGUCUCCCAGGCUGGGGUGCAGUGGCAUAAUCUUAGCUCACUGCAACCUCUGCCUCCCGGGCUCAAGUGAUCCUCCCUCCUUAGCCUCCAUGAGUAGCUGGGACCACAGGUGUGCACCACCACACCCCGCUAAUUAUUUUGUAUUUUUUGCAGAGGGGGGUUUCACCACAUUGCCCAAGCUGGUCUCAAACUCCUAGACUUAAGGGAUCUGCCUGCCUUGGCCUCCCAAAAUGCUGAAAUUACACUUGUUAGCCAUAGUAAUAGUUCCUAGCCAUAGUCCGGAGAUAUUUUAAAAACUUUAGUGUGAGUUAUUUCUCUUUGCUAUAAUUCUCUCAUGCAUUUUGAAAACCUUUUCUGCCAUACAGUGGUUUUUGGGAAGUCCUUUUGGACAGACAUAUCACAGGAUGGAGAAACUAAAAAGAGAGAAUGCAUUAAAGAAAAAAUAGUACUUCGUAUUUCAGAAAUUACAAAAGGGUGUCAUGCCCCACAGCAUGGUGGGCAGUCAUUUGUAACCCACAGAACAUUGAGUUUCUAAAAUUUGAGUGUUUUUAACUUACGAAGGCCAACUUUACUGAUGAAGUGAUUACCCCAAAUAUGUGAAAUCCAUAUUUCAAGUACAAUAGUAGGAAAUUGGAAAUGGGCUCUUGAGUUUCUGCUUUCAAGUGACCCUCAGAAAUUCCUCCAUUCACUGCAGAGGUUCUGUUUCUCCUUGCUUUGUUCUGACUUUACGGCAGAACUAAGCUAAUGAGUUAGUUACUAUGGGUUAUCACUUGGAUUUGAAGAACCAUCAUUUCUAGGCAUUGCUGCUCAGAGUGGGUCUGCCCUCAGGGGAAGCUGUCUAACCAGAGCCUAACCCACUAGGGUUUUAUCAGAACCUAACUGACCUGAGGAAAAGAAAUACUCAACUCCAGCAAGCUCCAGCCUUCCAAAUGGAGGAGGAGAAAACCCAACUCCAGCCCACUUCAGCUAUCUUGUCCCACAUAAAGGGGAAGUGGAAGAAACCUGAGAAGCAGGCAUGAAGUUCACAGUCCAGAGGUAUACAAGCCACGCUGAACAUCUGAAAAUCAAUUCAUGUGAUCCAUCACAUUAGCAGACUCAAGAAAAAAAACCACAUUAUCAUAUCAGUAGAUGUAGAAAAAAAAAAUUAACAAAAUCCAGCACCCAUUCACAAUGAAAAUGCCCAGUAAAUUAGAAAUAGAAGGUAACUUCCUCAAAUUGAUAAGGAAUAUCUCUAAAAACCUACAACUAAAAUCAUACUUAAUGGUAGAAAACUAGAAGCCUUCCCAGUAAGAGUAAGAACAAGUCAAAGAUGUAUGCUCUCACCAAUGCUUUUCAACAUCAUAUUGGAAGUCCUAGCUAGUGCAAUAAGCAAAAAAAAAAAAAAAGUUAUAUUAAUAAGAACAAAAACUGUGUUUGUUUGCAGAUGACAUGAUUUUCUAUGCAAAAAAUUCAAAAUAAUCAACAACAAAAAAAUCCUGAAACUAAUAAAUGAUUAUAGCAAGAUUUCAGGAUAUGAGAUUUAUAUACAAAGGUCAAUUACUUUCAUAUAUACAAGCAAUGAACAAGAGGGAUUUGAAAUUAAAAACGAAACUAUUUACAUUAGUACCCCCAAAAUGAAAUCCUUAUGUAUAAACUUAACAAAAUAUGUACAAGAUACAUAUGAGAAAAA